rnacentral:tRNA from 1 species
GGUGGAGCCGGGGCUGUGGAGCCCCAUCCGGCUGUAAACCGGACGCCCCGGACGGGGCACAGUGGGUUCGACUCCCUCCUUCACCAC